rnacentral:lncRNA from 13 species
AUGUCUAGUGUCACUGGAAACAGCCAGCUGACCUCACAAUGCUUAUCUCACUGUUGCUGUCAAAGCAACAGGGACUAUUGCCCUUUGAUCCCAUCCCUUGUCCCUCCACCUGCACUUCCUCUCAUGCCACCACUGAGGACAAUUCGAGAAACUGAUGCUACCGUGUGGAACAGCUUACCAGGGUUUCAUUCCCUGCAAAGUUAUUUGUAUACUUGUCCACUACAGGAACAACCCAACGUCAGAAGUCUUUUUAGAGGGUUCAGUGGUUCAUGUGCAGGUUUGCUUUAUAAGCAAAUUGCAUAUCAUGAGGUAUGGCGUUCAGAUUAACUCAUCACCCAGAAAUCACCACAGGCCAAGCCUUAAGGAAUCACCACCCUACUGGUCAGUGGCCAUCGACACUGAGGUGAAAGCCUUCACUAGCAAAAAAAUUAUAACGCUAUAUAUUUACUUAUAAAUAUAUAACAUAUAUACACAUUUAUAUAUAUACAGCAUUUAAACAUAUGUUAUUUCAUAUAUAAUAGACUACAGUAUAGUAUAAACAUAACUUUUCUAUGCACUGAGAAACCCAAAAAUUCUCGCUUUUAUUUUGAGAUUUGCUUUAUUGUGGUGCUCUGGAACCAAACCUGCAACAUCAAGGUAUGCUUGUAAAACUGACAAAUGAUUCAUAGCUAGAAUAUAUAAAGAACUUCUAAAAAUCAAGAUAAGGACAAAUGACCCACUAGAAGUAUGGAUAGAAGAUUAAAACAGGUGCUCCAUAGAGGAAAUACACAUGGCAGUACCCUCAGCCUCAGUUAUCAUGAGAGCGUAAAUUAGGACCACAGUAAGAGGCAAAACCUGGCAAGAUUUAAGAAAUCUGGGCUAGGUGUGGUGGCUUACGCCCGUAAUCCCACCACUUUGGAAUGCUCAGGCGGGUGGAUCACCUGAGGUUAGGAGUUCAAGACCAGCUUGGCCAACAUGGUGAAACACCAUCUCUAUUAAAAAUACAAAAAUUAGUUGGGCAUAGUGGUGGGCACCUGUAAUCCCAGCUACUCAAGGAGAAUCACUUGAGCCUGGGAGGCGGAGAUUGCAGUGAGCACCAUUGCACUCCAGCCUGGGUGACAAGAGUGAAACUCCAUCUAAAAAAAAAAAAGAAAAGAAAAAGAAAAAGAAAUCUGACAAUAUAAAAUGUCGCCGAGAAGGGGAGACCAGUGGAAAUUCUUACAGACUUCCCAUGGAAGUGAAAGCCACUUUGGAAACCAAUUUGGCAUCAUCUUAUAAAAUGUAACAUUUACUCAAUGACUAUUCACACCUCUAUACCAUAGAUAGAGUCACACAUGUGUACCAUGAGGCAUGUACAAGAGUGUUUAUAGCAAUACUGAUCAUAAGGGCAAAAAACUACAAACAGCCCAAAUAUCCAAUGGUAGGAAAAUUGGUACACUGAUCUCUUUUUCUAUUUACACAAUGGACUAUUGUACAACAGUUUAAAAUAAAUUAAUUCUACAUGACA